UACGGAGGGUGCGAGCGUUGUCCGGAAUCACUGGGCGUAAAGGGCGCGUAGGUGGCGCGGCAAGUCAACGGUGAAAGCUCGACGCUCAACGUCGAGUCGGCCGUCGAUACUGCUGGGCUUGAGCACUGUAGAGGCAGAUGGAAUUCCGGGUGUAGCGGUAGGAAUGCGUAGAGAUCGGAAGAACACCGGUGGCGAAGGCGGUCUGCUGGGCCAGAC
rnacentral:rRNA from 1 species